ACAUUUGAAAUUGCUUUACUUUUGAAAUUAUUUGCCUUCAUUUGGCUGAAAUUUCUUGAAAAGAAUUUUCAUGAAGUAAUAUUUUAUGAACAUUCAUAAAGGGGCGGAGCUACAGUGAUGCCCUGGUAGCGCUGGUCACCUCUGGAACCUGAUUGGACACCUCAGACGCCACCUCAGUUGAUUGACAGGUCUCUGCACGUCAAUGUUAAAGUAGCGUCUGUGGAAAGACAAACACGGGAGGCAGAAUAAACGUCUUUCAAAACACGAAUGGAUCGUGAGGACCUACUUUAACUACAUCACUCUGAAAUGAGAACUGGCCGGCCUUGUGGACUGAGAGUCAUCAACAGGCAUCCUUGGUUAGAGUGGAGGGACAGAAAGUUCAUUCGGAGUGACGGAGUCUAGUUCCGGAGGUGGAGUAGCUGUGACAGAGACACCACUCAUCCUAUUACAAGACACUGAACCGUCAACAUGAAGUCGAAGCUGCUAUUUAAGGUCGGACUGCUUCAGUAACGAGGGUCAGUACAAAGCUGGCUUUGUCUCGACACUGACCCUCGUAAAAGGGUCAGUCCCAACCAUAAGAGACCCAGGAACUGCACCCGAGCCACAGGUGUUCAGGCUACUGUGUCCUGCAAGGAUUUUGGUGUUGGGACAUCCACUGCAGACCCUUUCCGUUUUUCCCUAACACCUGUAAAGAGACCCUCAAAAAGACCUCGUCUGGAGCUUGAAGAGGAGCUGGAGGACGAUCCAUUAGAGGGCAGCUCUUCAGUGGCAGCUUCAAAGGGGCAGGAUCCCACCUAUGAUCCUGCAGAGUCCGUCACAGCGCUGUCAGAGUCAACACUUUAGUCUGCCUUCUAGGAGAACCAGGAAGCAGUGGGCCGUCCUAAGCAGACCACACCUUAGGGUGUGGCAUCACUGAUAAAAGGCUGCCUCAGUCAGUCUGCUCUCUCUCUCUGGUGGCUGAGCAGCUGACUGCUGCUAUGGCCUACAACCUGCUGUGGUUUGGUGUUUGCUGUCUUAAAUACAUAUAGACAUGCACA